rnacentral:rRNA from 1 species
UACGUAGGGGGCAAGCGUUGUCCGGAAUCAUUGGGCGUAAAGAGCGUGUAGGCGGCUCGAUAAGUCCGCUGUGAAAGUCCAGGGCUCAACCCUGGAAGGCCGGUGGAAACUGUCGGGCUAGAGUCCGGAAGAGGCGAGUGGAAUUCCCGGUGUAGCGGUGAAAUGCGCAGAUAUCGGGAGGAACACCAAUGGCGAAGGCAGCUCGCUGGGACGGUACUGACGCUGAGACGCGAAAGCGUGGGGAGCAA